GCUUUCGAAUGAUGUGCCCACCCAUUGCACUUCCUUCGUGUUUUGCUGUGAGUGAAUCAUGGCAAGAAGGAUGCCAUAUGAGCACUCCACUCACUUCAUUUGUGGAUCUAAGAAAUAGGCUCAAGUGUGUCAGAGGGUGAUAGAACUGAGCUUAUUCAGUUGAAUGAGUCCAUCAGAGGGUAUUAUGGGUUGAAUUGUGUCCCCCCAAAAUUCAUAUGUUGAGAUCCUAACCCCUAGUAUCUCAGAAUGUGACUGUAUUUGGAGAGAGGGUCUUUACAGGGAAUCAAGCUAGAAUGAAGUCUUUACGAUGGGUCCUAGUCCAAUAUGACUGAGUCUUUAUAAGAUGAGGAGAUUAGGACACAGACAUAAACAGAGAGAAGACCAUGUGGGGACACAGAGAGGAACUGGCCAUCUACAAGCCGAGGAGAGGGGCCUCAAAAGAAACCAACUCUGCCUACGCCUUGACCUCAGACUUCUAGCCUCCAGAACUGUGAAACAACACAUUUCUGUUGCUUAAGCCACCCACUUUGUGGUACUUUGUUACAGCAACCUCAGCAAACCAGUACAGAGGGGGGACAGGUUCAUACAGGUGAAGUGAGCUUUUCGAGGUUCUGUGUCCACCAAUGGAGCUCCAGGCCCACGCCCCAAAGAUCCUUCCUCCUGGUUCAGUCCUCAUCCCACUUCGUGAUGUGAUACAGCAUUUGUUAUAAAAAAGAUCCCACUAGGCUACUUCACCUAUGAAUUCGAUUUAAUUGGCAUCUCAAUUGUGGUGUCAAUUCUUUUGCCAUUUCCUGCAACACCGAGGGAGAAUUUUUCUAAGCUAAUUUUUUUUAGCUGCAAAGAUGACAAAUGUUAUCAAUGAUAUCCAACCAGAGUAUAUUUUCAUCCCUUUUCUUCCCGUCAAGAUAAGCCAGAGUGUUUGUUGCCAGAAAUGGAAAACAGCUUGCUCAUCAGCCAGAUGAUCGCAGUGCUCAAAAGUUCCACUCGUUUGCCAUGUGUGAAAUGUUAAGAAUUGAAAACAGACAGGCUUACUCUGCUUAAACUGUGGGCUCCGUGAAGCAAGAAAAAGAGAUAUUUGGAUACUAGAAAAAAGAGUUGCGGAAAUGGUUUUGACGGCAAAGUGAACAGGGUCUUUUCAAGUAGCUCUGAGGUGGGACACCCAGGUUGAUUUGCUAGUGGCUAUGGCUAUUCAUCAAUUGGAUGAAAGAUGGAGCCUAAAGGUACCAAACUCUGGUGGCUACCUCUGUGUUCUAGGACAAAUUCCAAUGUCCUACACAAAUGUGGCCCUUGGGACUUCUACUGCAUUAUCUGAAAUGAAAAUUUCUACGCAUUUCAGUUAGACUUCUUCCCGAUUAUCCGGAUCAAAAUAUCUCCAUGAGUUCGUAGUACAAGUCAGAAAUAUGCAGUGGACCUGAGGCUUCUUUAGAAACAGCGAGGCUUCAGAUAAUAGGCUUGAAUUGUUCCAUUAUUUUUCCACUCAUGAGGAAAUAAGGGGUGUUUGUUGAAUUUUUGUGAGAUUGAAUUAAAUUACCCAGUUAUCAAUCCAUUAUUAUGUUAGAAUAAUGUGUGUUUGCUGAGUGAUUUCUGGUCAUUUUUAUUAGUCUCUCUUUGCAACUACUUAAGGGACUUUUUGACAAUUGCGAGAGCCGUUUUAAGAAACAGAAACACAGGCUUACAGAGGUUAAACGAUUAACUCAACAUUGACCAAAAAAAAAUAAAAAAAAAACCUUGAAGAAAAAUCAGAAUUCACACUCAGGGCUCUAAUUACCAUUCUGUAGGUUUCUGGAAGCUCACAUAAUCACUUUACGCUUUAUUUAUGUCUUGGAAAUCAUUUGCAUUUCAACAUUUAGAUUUCCUCCUGUACUUGAUUCUCAAGGUCUUGGACGUUAACUCGAACUCAAGGAUUUGGCUACCUAAGUGGAAAAAAAAACACCUGCCCUGAUUCUUCUUUGUUAAGACGAGCUCAAAAUAGGGCAAAAUCAGUAAGUUCUCAGGGAAAGACAAUGCUGCAUUGAGUUCCACUUCCUAUGGGUAAAUUCAUGACCGCCAAUUUGUCUUAAGGGGGGUUGUUUUUAGCAGCAGGGAAUUCUGGCUGGCUGGAGAGCAGACAAGGAAAGGAGGAGGGGGGAGAAGAGAGACGAACUUUCAGGUGCACAUAGAACGCGCAGCUUUCAGCCCACUUUCUCCUUCCUUGUUUGAGUCAGCUCCAUGGUACCCCACCCACUGCUGGCCUUUCUCUGGGGCUCAGGUUUUGAGCUGACUGAGUGCUCAGCAGUUGGCCGCAACUCUUCUUCCGAUGAAAGGACAAAUCAGAAGGUACCUAUUACAAGUCUGUGAGCAGAGAAACAAAGGCCCGGCUGCUGACACCCUCCCACUAACUUGGGUUUUAAUGAUGCUGUUGCCUCAUUUAUGAUUAUGGAUGAUGAUCCAAUGUCCUCCAUCCAUGUCCAAAUUCUGGGACGCCAAGAAGAGAAGACUGCCUACGAAUUCCUUGAUUAUGAAAAGGAUGUACGCUGGGAAUUCAACUCACUCCUUCACCAGCUCCUGUGACCUCUCUUUCCCACAAUCAUACAGGAAGAGUGACUGCCAUCUCUCUCUCGGGUAACUCUGCCUUGAAAAAGAGGGACAGUCUAAGACCCGUGUGAUCAAGCUGUUCAAUCUCUGCUUGUCUGGCAGCAGUUUCAAAGGAAGGAUACCUGGAAGAGAAAUCCGUGGCCCCAGGAAGCCGAGACGUGGAAGCGGGAUGUCAGUGACAGCUAUUUCAAGCUACUGAGAAAUUGCAGAAGGAAGAAGAAAAUGCCCCUCCCUCUUCCUUCAUCGCAUCAAGUAAAACAAACUGGACAAGAUGCUCUGUCUGUUCAGAUGAUGUGAGUGAGAAGCACCUGUCACAGAAGACAUGAAUUGAGUGAGAUCUUAAAAGGUUGCUCAUGGGGCAGAGAAAGAGAACAAAGAAGCUGGACUAGCACCAGCAAAGGGAGGGAAAGAUGAGCCUACACUGAGCGAUGAGAGAGGGCCGGUGCUGAGACCAUCAGGCAAGUGAAAGGGGUUGGAGAAGAGCAAACUAGAAGUUAUAUGGGUACCUCUGACUCCUUUGACCUCAGGAGACCCUGACAACCAAAACAUCAUUCCCCGUGGUGACAAGAUACUCGAAAACCACAAAGAAAUUGGAACUGGGGCCAUGUCAAGGCCACUCCCUUUUCAGACUUCUAGACUCCAGAACUGUGAGACAAUAAAUUUCUAUCAUUCAAGCAACCUAAUCUGUGGUACUUUAUUACAGCAGCGCUAGCAAUGAAUAGUCGGCUGGUGCUAGUGGCCUCUUCUUUCCUUCAAGGGAGGGUGGAGAAGAGAAGACAAGGAUUCUUGAGAUUCUGCAAAGCAAGGUGGGUUUCUUCUGGUAUAAUACCUGGAAACCCCAAUGGCAUUUACAUGGAUGAAACAACUGGCCUAUAUCUCAGCUGAUUCAGUGGUUUCUGUCGUCUUAACAAGCAGUGUUCAUUGGCCCAUAAUAGUUGUGCAUUUGCUACAUCAUCAGUUGGAAACUGGCCAAAUAAUCUGGUAGACGAGUGUCAUGGCCAAUUCCGUUCCUGUCUGCAGAAAAACACCAGCGAGCUAGGAUGAGACAUAGUGAGUGAGAACUGUGUUGAAAGUCUUUCUUGAGGUUCCUGUAAGUUCUUUUAAUGCUGGGCUCUCUGUAUCUGCAGCCACAGUCAAUUCUAACAUUGAGGAUUGAGAAGGAUCUAAAGCUUGGACUAAAAAAGUUGCCUAAGAUGCUCUUUCUUUACUGGUCUGAAUGGAACCUCUUCAUUGGAUUUCCAUCCAUCUGAAGUGGACAAACUGUUAGGAAGAGAGCAAGCGCUGAUAUUUCCUUUAUUAUUAAGUGAUUCUUUGAGAGUGUUAUUUUUCUUUCCUUCCUUUUUCUUUCCUCCUAAAAACAUGUAGAAAAUAUGAAUGCUAAUUAGGAUACAAUUAUCCUAAUAGUGGAUCAGUUUACUGGAUGUGUGAAAUUGACGCUCCCCAUAGGAAUGAUCUGGCAACAGUAUAAUAAACUAUUUGUAAGAGAAGUAUUAAAAAGGGAAGAAGAGUGAGCCAACAUAUGAAUUAGAGAAUACACACAAAUGUGUGCACGUACACACUGAAUUUGGACAUAGCCUAUCCCCUCUGUUGCUUACGCAUUCAUUGAAGCCUUCACCUUUUCUGUGGCUGCUUGUCUAAGCACGUGUCUUACAUUCAACAUCUUCUCUAGGUCUCAGGUACAAUGGUGUGUUUCCAGUCUCUUCUACUCGGUCAAUUCUCACAACGCUUGAGAUCUUGAUAGGGCUAUUGGAACAGUCAGUCAAAGUAAUAGAAAAGGGAGAAAGUGUUACAUAGGAAGCAAAAGCAAAAAGAUGUGCCUAAAGGCAAUGAGCUCUGUAGAGGUGGACAGAGUUGUACUCAUGUCACUUUAUACAAACAUCCUCUCCCUGUGGGCCUCCAAAUUAUUUACACAAAAGACCUUUUGACUUAACAGGGAGAACCCAUGCAGGAGAGAUCCCUGUAAAUCCAGCUUUUCCAAAAGGCAAUAUGGGCUUUGGAGACAGGCCAACUAGAGUUGUAAUCCCAGAUCCACCAUUUACCAGCUUCGUGAACUUGGGACAGCUGAAGUGUAUUAGGCAGCAUGGCACAAAUCAGAGAGAGCAGGGCCCGGUGAGAAACUGACAUCAUGCUGCCAUCUUGGCUUCCUCUCAGAUGCACUCUGAGCCCCUGUAAGUGUGCAAGUAGGCAUGCCCAGGGAUUUGGGGCAAAAGAGAUAAGCAGGCAGUACUUCUUGAAAAAGGAGUUACAUUUUUUUUUCAUUCUACAUCGCCAACAUUUUCAUUAUCGUCAUCAUCGUCAUUAUUGCAAUUCUCUGUCCAAGGGUGCUAUGAGAUGCAUCCUAUUUGAACCUCUCCCACUGGAGCUGCGGCAAGGAGAGCCUGCCUGAGUAAACUGCCAGGUACACUACAGGGAACUCGGGGCAUGGAUGCCAAAGAUCCAACGCCAUGGGACCCUGAGGACCCGCUUCUCAUCCUGACCUGGGUGCCAGGGAAGGCAUCCUGGAGGAGGUGGGCCCCCUGCUGAAUCCUACAGGUAGUACCUUAGGGCAGCAACUGUGUCUUUUGGUUCCUGUGUGGACACCGCCUGGCAUGGUAGGCUUGUGAUAAAUAUUUGUAGAAAGAACAGGCGAGGGUUUCCUCUCUUUUGGGUUCUGACUGUUCCUAUGGGAACACUUAAGUUGUGCAUUUGCGAUACACAAGUAAAUACAUAAAUGAAUUCAAAAUGGUUAAAAAAUGAAAAAUUAAAGAGAGGAGAGAUUUCCAGAGUGUGUGCACUUCUGACUGAUGCCCUGGCAUUCUUAAUCAAAAUGAGAAACUCCCCAACGGGUUAUGGCGAGAGGGUGUGAGGCCAAGGUGUAGGGAAUAAAAUGGAACAAUGUGAUCCUCGAGGUGAAGUGAUUUCAAUGGCCUGAGACAACAUUCCCUCCUUGUCUAUUUUGGACCCAUACAUGGGUCUCAGCCCUCAUCUGCAGUGAGUUCCAAUUCUGUGCUCUUGAAGGAGGUGGCGUGAAGCCAAAAGGAAGAAGACGAACAAGGUGAUGGAUGUUACAUCAAGUUUCCCCCUCAUUCUCUUUAAUUUCCUCUCCCAGGCUUUUUCUUGGUUAUACUUAUCUGCCUGUUAUUUUCACCCUUUUAGAAAGAGAGAUUCUCAAUGUUUAUUUUAAAAUAAAAAAGACAAAUGUUUUUCCAUAUUGCUUAUUGGGCGAAGGGAGCAUUUUAUUAUUAGCAUCAUCAAGCAUGUGAUUUCAGAGAAGAUUCUUGGAAUCGGAAAUGUGUUUGGCCGGUCAAUAAUAACUCCCAUCACAGCAAUAUUGUGACCAUAUAUCCCAGAUCUAGAUGUUCUCAGUCAAAGAAAAAAGAAGAGCACAAUAAAUUUUGCAACAUAAUAUGUAAAUCUGAUAGAUAGCUUUUACCUAAUAUUUUUGUUUGUUUCUGUUUCUAAGAAUUUUCCCUGAUGCCGAGUACUAGCUGAGGAGAACGUGGGGUAAUGGGUUAGCUUAGGCUUUCUGGCCUCUUCUUAGAAUUGUGAAUGUUUAGAACUUCAAAACAACAUUUGCUUCCUCUGCCCCAUUUCUCUCCUUUUGUAGAUCAGGAAACUGAGCCUGAAGGACCAAGUGACUUGCUCAAGGUCGUUUGACGUUUAAGAGAGAGAGCUGGGAUAAUAUGUCUCUUGCCUACCAUAAAAGGAUCGUGCCUGAACGUCCUCUCCUCAAGAGAAACAAAGGUUUACUGGCACAGGGUGCACUGGAUCCACUUCGAGAAAAGGCAUAUUGCUGCCACUCAAUCUCUGAAACAAUGAAAAGAAUACAACGAAAGAAGAAAAUCAACAAAAGCUUUGGCUCAACCACAGGUCCAUUUAUGUGUUGUUGGUGGAGGUUGCUGACUUACCAGACUUUGGGCCUGGCUUACCCAGAAGGACUCAUGAGAGGCCAUGUUGAAGUGUCAAGAAAUGAAACAAGAAACAGCACAAACCCUGAGCUACGGUAUCAGUGUGGCAGGAGAAUGUGUGUGUGGAGAGAAUGGCAAGGGUUUGACUUUGCUAGUUUCAUAAUAUCUCAAGAUCAGUGUCUUGCGUGCCAUCGAGGACUAAAUUCAGGGUUUCUGCUGUCUAGAAGCAGUGUGUUCCAUUCC
rnacentral:lncRNA from 1 species